CUGCCAUAUUUCCUACUGCUUCCAACACAAACUCCAACAUGAGACUUGAGACAGCGCUGGAUGUGAUCUUAAGGAUGAAAAAUGAAAUUUGAGAAACAGCAUUGAAAGGUUGAUCCCAGGAGAAAACAUUCUACUCCUCAACACGGGUCUCGCCUGAUUCAUUUACCAACUAUGACAGUCUUCAGAGUCAACACUCCAGGCAUGUAGACACACACAGGAGAAUAAAACCUCAGUUCCCAGGCAGCUUCCAGAAGCUGUGGCAUUGCUGUGGCCUGAGGCCUGGACUUUCCCAGGGGAUAGGUAUCCAGAUCGUUUGUGCCCUUCCAUAUCACCUUUCAUUCAGAGGCCUUACCUGGAUUGGUAGCCAGCAUUGAUACUCACACCUCCCCAAAGAGCUCUCACCCAGAGGCAUACAAAGAAAGGAACUUGAGAAAACCAUUCCAGUUAAAGCAAGUCGACCCAGCACAGUCCAAAAUCCAUGCAGAGCUCGUGGCACAGAGGAAAACGGACAUCAGGUAGCGGUAGCAGGCUGGCGACUGUGGCUUUUACACAUUGUUUCACACAACCCCGUCCAGGAGUUUUACACACUCACUAAACAAACAGAAGGCACCAUCCAAUUCACUGGAGCCCCGUUGGAUAAAUACGGAAAGAAUGUGGGAGCUAUGUCAUGAACCACAAUGGUUUUGUGUUCUGUGUAAUUUGAAGACGAGAUUCCUUUGCUGUGUGUCACCUCCCAUAUUACCACUGUCGCCCAACAUUUCAUAACCAUCAACUCUUUGCCAGUGCCCACAUGCAAAGAUGGGUUUGUAUUAAAAAAUAAAUGAGAACAGCACAUUCUGAUGUGGUGUAGUAUUUCAGCAUUUUCCACGAAGCCUCGUCGCCGGCCUUCCCCUUUUAGGAAACAAAGGACCCGUGACAGAGCCUACUUAUCCCGUUACAGCUCCUGGUGAGAAGGGCAAAGCGAUGUCAGAAAUAAUAGAAAAGGCUUUUUCCUUUGAAAUAUCUAAACGUUCAAAGAUGGGAACAGCCGCAGGGGGGAGAAUACUGUGCUGUGCAAGUUGAUCUGAUUUUGUGGACCAUCCAUUUCCAAUUGGGAAGCUCACUUACUUUCAACUUGAAGCAUCAGAAAACCAGACAUACAGCAGCUUCAGCCUAUAGGGGUUUUUCUCAUGUAACAAGAAGAACAGAAGUGGACAGAGGCCGAGUUCUCAAGGACUCAGUUUCUUUCUGUCCCAUCAACCUUACCAUGUUGGAUUGUCAUCUUUGUGCUUGUUGCCUCAUGGUGGCAAGAUAGCUGCAGCACCUCUGGGACUCACGACUGAUUUUUAAGCUCAAUCCGGCCUUGUGAGAGACGCCUACAUGCUGAAGAGCCUUUCUGCAGUUCUGCAUUGAACUCUUCAUGUGGUCCCAUCUAGUAAUGAGUGCGAGUGGAGAUGCCAAGGAGGGCAACGCAGAUGCAUCUGAGAUGCCAAAGAAAGGCUUUCACACACAAAGUGACUCCCUGCCCUUGGACGUGUUUGCAUCCUCACAUCCUUCUCAUCCCUACGUUCCUACUACUGCAGUCACACCAGCUCCUAGGCUCUGCCUUGGACAGAACCCACAGUUUCCUGGAAGGAACAAGUUCUCUGCAGUCGGCCCCCUGCCCCAGCAUCCAGGGACCACGUUGGCCACAGUCCUAUUUACAGCUUCCAAAGCAGUCAAGUACAGAAAGCCAUGUAACAAAGCGACUGAGAAGACCCAUUCUGGUGUGUACACACGUGUGUGUUUUCAAUCACCCCUCUGCCUUCCCUCUCCAGUUACUCAGAUCUCCUUGCUUUCAAAAUGAGAACAGUGAAUUAUUUAUGGAGUAACAUACUGCACUCAGGGUCUCCCAUGAUCAUGCAGAUUGUGACCACCCUGGGGAAUUUACUGCCUGAGUCAUUCGGAGAGAAUGGGUGAAUGAGGCAUAAGGUGGCAAGUAAGUGACAGUGACAUAAGUUGGGGCUCCCUGGCUCUAUGACUGGUUGGGAGAAGUGGUAUGAGGAGGUGACAGACGACAAAGGGAGAGUCUGGUCUUCCUAAAUCCCUAGUGGUAGCGAUAUGGAAGCAGGUGGGAAAAAUAUAAUGAAAAUAUAAAAGAAACAAUGAAUUCCUGACCAAACUGUCAGAUAACCUCUGUUGUCACAACACAGGCCUGGAGUGACUACUGGGAAACCAAAAUGUUCAGCUCUCUGCUCAUGGUGAGCAGCAUGCCUAGGUAGAUGAUGGCUAGCAGUCUAUCCAGGGCUGAGACCCCAAGCCUAGGGAUUCUAUCCUUCAUUACCCACUUAUUACCUCCAGCACCACUGGCCACUUCCUUCUUCUUCAAUUUUUUUUUUUUUUUUUUGAGAUGGAGUCUUCCUCUGUCACCCAGGCUGGAGUGCAGUGGGGCAAUCUCGGCUCACUGCAACCUCUGCCUUCUGGGUUCAAGAGAUUCUCCCACCUCAGCCUCUCAAGUCGCUGGGAUUAUAGGAACCCGCCAUCAUGCCUGGUGAAUUUUUGUAUUUUUAGUAGAGACGGGGUUUCGCCAUGUUGGUCAGGCUGGUCUUUAACUACUGACCUCAGGUGAUCUGCCCAACUCGGCCUCCCAAAGUGCUGGAAUUACAGGCGUGAGCCACUGCACCUGGCCCAGUUCCUUUUUUCAUACAAACUUUUUGCUCAUUAUUUCACUUGCAGGGCUUUCUGACUGCUCUUUAUUGCUCUUUUUGUAGAGAAUAUCAAGAGGUAUCUUUCCCUGGAUCUCUGACUUCUAACGUCUUACAAAAUAUGGCAGAAUAGAGAAGAGAUACACACAGUGCUGAUUUUGUAAGGGAAUGUGCUAGAAUGUUGUCCUGGAACUAUGUUCUUAUGCCACCCUAGAACAAUGUUUCAAAAUCUAAUGUUUAACACUGAUAUUUAAUAUUCACAUCAAAUAAUAAAAGCUGUUUAUUUGCAUUU